rnacentral:misc_RNA from 1 species
AAACAUCACAAUUUGAUUCAUCUAUUUUCCUCAUUUUACAGAGAUGAAAUUAGAACUAUACUUCACCUGAAGUAAAGCUUCCAGACUUCUCGAACAUUCGAGGAACCAUCAGUAACCUCGGAAACGAGAGAAGCUGCUAGAACACCGUCUUUCUCCACAAUCGAAAUAAAUCGCCUUGAUCCACCACCGACACCAAAAUAAUGCUUCUUUGCAGCUAGAUAUAAAAUUCCAUGAGGACUACAUAAGCACUUUUUAAUAAGUUUGUACAGACUCGGUAGAGUAGAAAUUGAGUAAACUGUCUCUGCCAUGAGAAUUAUAUCAUAACCAGCAGCCUGAUCAACUG